GCCUACUUUGUUUUACUCAAAAUAAUACAAUUUUGGAACAAAAAAUUCCAGCGCAAGAAGUUAAUAGUGAAAUCUUCCGUAACCAUCUCUAUCGAUCAAUAUUAUUUAAAAAUACUCUUUUGAUCUUCAGAAAUACUCGUGAAGUGUUCGAAACCCAUCUCUAUCGAUCAAUACUACUUAAAAUUAUAUUCUUUUCACUUUCAGAAAUGCUCCAGAAAUAUUCGAAGCCCAUUCUCUAACGAUCAGUAUUACUUAAAAAUAUUUUCACUUUCAGAAAUACAUCAUGAUACAUUCGAAACUGAUCCCCUGGCAUAAAUUCCAGCAAACUUAAGAAAACGAAGAUGGAAACCAAUAAGCAAUAUCAACAGGUUGUUUAACAGGUGUGCAAUGACGAGGGAUACAUACGCAUCCCAUGUGUAACUUUUGCGUUGCGUAACGUUAUAAUGCUUGUGAAAAUAAUCCAGCGCUAUACUAUAUAAUGAUAUGAUGAUUUCCUCGAAAUUGAACGAUUUGAAAAAAAAAAAAAAAGUGAGAGUAUAAUCAAUCCUCCAAUCGUGAACAAUUGUCAUACUUCAACGAGCGAAAUUUAUAAUCUGUGUAGAUUUAAGUAUCUUCGUAAAAAGACUUUUACACUCCGUUUAUAUGAACCUCGAUUCAUCUGUAUCAAAUUUCAAUUGAUACUCAAUGCUGACCGAAUCCACUUAUUUAAACGUGAACUCUUGUUACAUGAACGAAAAGUCACCAGUGGACCCGUCUCAGUAGACUCCUAUUAUAUAAACCCUGAUUAUAUAAACUGUUUGUCCCAUAAUAAAUUUAUAUAAAUGGAAUUCUAUCGUAACGGAGUAAAUUGGACGCGACGUCGCCGUUUAAAGCGAAAAAGACGAGAAUAACUUCCAACCUGGGCAUCUUUCAUUGGAUGGAUGCAAAUUCCGAUAAUGGAGAUUGAUCAUCGACGUCGAUAACAAAUUAAAAAAUCCGCGUAAAAGGAAAAUGAUUAAAAGAAUUUCCGAUUAAAUUGAAAAAAAAAGAAGCUUUCAACGGUUAUUUAAAUGAAAGGAAAAAAAAAACAAGGUCCCAUUGAAUAAUCGCAUAAUUGCAUUAGUCGCGCGUGCUAAACACGACACGAUGCAGGCUCCGAUGAAUCAGAA